rnacentral:rRNA from 1 species
GGGGAAUCUUCCGCAAUGGACGAAAGUCUGACGGAGCAACGCCGCGUGAACGAUGACGGCCUUCGGGUUGUAAAGUUCUGUUAUACGGGACGAAUGGCGUAGCGGUCAAUACCCGUUACGAGUGACGGUACCGUAAGAGAAAGCCACGGCUAACUACGUGCCAGCAGCCGCGGUAAUACGUAGGUGGCAAGCGUUGUCCGGAAUUAUUGGGCGUAAAGCGAGCGCAGGCGGAAAAAUAAGUCUAAUGUGAAAGCCCUCGGCUUAACCGAGGGACUGCAUCGGAAACUGUUGUUCUUGAGUGCAGAAGAGGAGAGUGGAACUCCAUGUGUAGCGGUGGAAUGCGUAGAUAUAGGGAAGAACACCAGUGGCGAAGGCGGCUCUCUGGUCGGCAACUGACGCUGAGGCUCGAAAGCAUGGGUAGCGAACA